rnacentral:misc_RNA from 1 species
GACUCUGCCACUCACUCUCUGCAUGUAGCACCCACCCAUACUUAUCCUGGCGAAUAACUCUUAGUUCAGUAGCCACUGCAUCGCGAACCAACUCAAGAGCAAUUCUUCGUUCAUUAAUCUGCUCCCAAUGUCUUCCAUCCAACUUUGAGAUCUCCUUGAGUUUCCUCCCCAUUUCUCUCUUACGUCGACCAUCCAUGCCUUUAAUCCUCACCCCAGGAAACUUAGCUGACCCAGUAAUAAACUGAACCCACAUAAUGGCAGCGCACUGCUCCAACACUCUAUUAACUUCUUGUUCAGAACUAUGAAGCCACUCAAAAA